GGAUUCCCCUAGUAACUGCGAGUGAAGCGGGAAAAGCUCAAAUUUAAAAUCUGGUAGUCUUUGGCUGCCCGAGUUGUAAUCUAGAGAAGCGUUAUCCGCGUUGGACCGUGUAUAAGUCUCCUGGAAUGGAGCGUCAUAGAGGGUGAGAAUCCCGUCUUUGACACGGACUACCAGGGCUUUGUGAUGCGCUCUCAAAGAGUCGAGUUGUUUGGGAAUGCAGCUCUAAAUGGGUGGUAAAUUCCAUCUAAAGCUAAAUAUUGGCGAGAGACCGAUAGCGAACAAGUACCGUGAGGGAAAGAUGAAAAGAACUUUGGAAAGAGAGUUAAACAGUACGUGAAAUUGUUGAAAGGGAAACGCUUGAAGUCAGUCGCGUUGACCAGGGAUCAACCUUGCUUUUGCUUGGUGUACUUCCUGAUUAACGGGUCAGCAUCAAUUUUGACCAGUGGAAAAAGUUCGAGGGAAUGUGGCAUCCUCGGAUGUGUUAUAGCCCUUGGUCGUAUACAUUGGUUGGGAUUGAGGAACUCAGCACGCCGCAAGGCCGGGUUUUAACCACGUUCGUGCUUAGGAUGCUGGCAUAAUGGCUUUAAUCGACCCGUCUUGAAACACGGACCAAGGAGUCUAACAUGCCUGCGAGUGUUUGGGUGGAAAACCCAAGCGCGUAAUGAAAGUGAAAGUUGGGAUCUCUGUCGUGGGGAGCACCGACGCCCGGACCAGACCUUUUGUGACGGAUCCGCGGUAGAGCAUGUAUGUUGGGACCCGAAAGAUGGUGAACUAUGCCUGAAUAGGGUGAAGCCAGAGGAAACUCUGGUGGAGGCUCGUAGCGAUUCUGACGUGCAAAUCGAUCGUCGAA
rnacentral:rRNA from 1 species